rnacentral:ncRNA from 1 species
AGAAAUGCAUGGAACAGGACAGACCACAAAAAGCAGGCCGGAUUACAGAGAGCCGCAGGCUGAUGAGAAGCGGCAGAAGGUAUUUUGUGAUAUCACCUGGGAGCAUCCCGCUGAAUAGAAAUCUUUAAGUAAGCCGGGACGUAGUCUUCACGUUACAGAAGAGGCUGUUUGAUAUGACAGUAAUAAGUGGUCGCGUUUAGCAAUAAAUACGAUAAUACAAAGUGGUACCACGGAACAUUCCGCCUUUGUU